CUGUCUCACGGCUGCGGGCCCGGCCGGGUUUUCGUACUUCCUAGUUUCUCCGGUUGACUAAAGUUGCCCCGUCGCUCUCUGCCCCCUCCUCUGGAGGCGGAGGAAGAGGGGUGGGCGAGGAAGCCGCGGCGCACCGGCGGCUGAGAAAUUAGGUUAAAAAAAUAUCACAUCAAUUUGUGAUUAUUUCAUUGCUCAACACUGAAGUCAAUGUAUGGGAAUUCUUGAGAAAGAGUGCCGUGUAGAGUAUGUGGCUUGACUCGACCAUGGCAAAGGGUAAGAGGAAAGAGAAUUUUCCGUGUAUAAAACUGGAGAUAUUUGCUUUGGAAAGGCAGGACUCUGGCCCUAACACCAGCUCUUCCCUGAACUCUACCCUGGCCACUACUCCCGCUCCCGUCCCCUCCGGUGGUGGCUUUGCGCGUCGUGGAGCCCAGUUGGGCCCCCAGCUCGGGUUGCUGUCAGAAGGCCCCUCACGGCAGCGCUCCCCGACGGGGAAGGGUUCGUGGGGUGUCUGGAGGAACAGCGUGUGCGUGGAACGGGAGCGCACGACCCCAGCCCUGCGGAACACGAAUGGCUAUGCAGAGGGGACCCGGCGAUCCUCACAGGAGGCUGCUCCCUCACCUGCGUGCCCGUCUGCGUGGGGACCCGCCGCUCUAAGCGGCGGGGAUGGGCGGAGAGCGCCCAGCUCCGAGGUCACGGUGGGGGUGAGUAGCUGGGCUGAAAUGUCUUGGAUGAAGUGGCAUUCUACAGCGAUCUCCAUGUAGUUCUGGGUAUAACUCGUAGAGAUAGAAUUUCUACUGCACACUUUUAUCCCUCGUAGUUUUUUUAAUUUAUUAUUUCAAAUUAAAAGCCAACGGAAAAUCA
rnacentral:lncRNA from 1 species